rnacentral:rRNA from 1 species
UGGGGAAUAUUGCACAAUGGGGGAAACCCUGAUGCAGCAACGCCGCGUGAGUGAAGAAGUAUUUCGGUAUGUAAAGCUCUAUCAGCAGGGAAGAUAAUGACGGUACCUGACUAAGAAGCUCCGGCUAAAUACGUGCCAGCAGCCGCGGUAAUACGUAUGGAGCAAGCGUUAUCCGGAUUUACUGGGUGUAAAGGGUGCGUAGGCGGCACAGCAAGUCAGAUGUGAAAGACCGGGGCUCAACCCCGGGGCUGCAUUUGAAACUGCCGAGCUUGAGUCCGGGAGAGGCAGGCGGAAUUCCUAGUGUAGCGGUGAAAUGCGUAGAUAUUAGGAGGAACACCAGUGGCGAAGGCGGCCUGCUGGACCGGAACUGACGCUGAGGCACGAAAGCGUGGGGAGCAAACA